AAUGCUGGUUCAUAUGCCUAGCACCUGCUAACAAAAUCUCAGUUAUCUGCAAGGUAUAUCUAAUCAUUUUGUUUUCCAUGAUAAAGAAAAGGUAUGACCAUGGGCUUCUAAUAUUUCUCUAUACAUUUGACAUUUUGACAGUUCCUCAAAAAAAGUAAAUCCAUCAUUGCUAACAUUUAGGAGAAAUUAUAUUUUUCAGUUCCGUAACUAUUGUCAGAGUUUUGCACGAUUUGUAUAAGAAAUCUGAUAGACUUGUUGUGUUUGUUAUGCCCUUCUAUACAUGGUAUUAUUAUUGUGGUGGAUAGGCCAGUCAUUGGAGUUGGAGCGUGGUAGAUGGGUUGGAGCAGAGCAUGGUAGAUGGAUUGGAGAACAGACCAGGUCAUGCAGACAGCUCUAACGGCACAUUAGAGUUAACUUUAUAUUUCUGGCUAACUUGGAGGCUUGGCUGCUUCCCCAUCAGUUCACUACUUCUAAUUGUUCGAGUGCAGCUGUACUCGAGACAAACACAAUCCAGUAAGGUAGUUUGUUCAAAUAGAUCUCAGAUGUUGAAUGAAGAUUAUAAGAUGUAGGUUAAAUUGAAGGAAAUAAGAGAGAC
rnacentral:lncRNA from 1 species